ACGGAAGGCAGCAGUGGGGAAUAUUGCACAAUGGAGGAAACUCUGAUGCAGCAACGCCGCGUGAAGGAUGAAGGUCUUCGGAUUGUAAACUUCUGUCCUUAGGGAAGAUAAUGACGGUACCUUUGGAGGAAGCCCCGGCUAACUACGUGCCAGCAGCCGCGGUAGUACGUAGGGGGCAAGCGUUAUCCGGAAUUAUUGGGCGUAAAGAGUGCGUAGGUGGUUACCUAAGCGUGGGGUGAAAGGCAUCGGCUUAACCGGUGUUAGCCCCGCGAACUGGGCUACUUGAGUGCAGGAGGGGAAAGUGGAAUUCCUAGUGUAGCGGUGAAAUGCGUAGAUAUUAGGAGGAACACCGGUGGCGAAGGCGACUUUCUGGACUGUUACUGACACUGAGGCACGAAAGUGUGGGGAGCAAACAGGAUUAGAUACCCUGGUA
rnacentral:rRNA from 1 species